rnacentral:rRNA from 1 species
AUUGAACGCUGGCGGAAUGCCUUACACAUGCAAGUCGAACGGCAGCACGGACUUCGGUCUGGUGGCGAGUGGCGAACGGGUGAGUAAUACAUCGGAACGUGCCCAAUCGUGGGGGAUAACGUAGCGAAAGCUACGCUAAUACCGCAUACGAUCUAAGGAUGAAAGCGGGGGAUCGCAAGACCUCGCGCGAUUGGAGCGGCCGAUGGCAGAUUAGGUAGUUGGUAGGGUAAAGGCCUACCAAGCCGACGAUCUGUAGCUGGUCCGAGAGGAUGAUCAGCCACACUGGGACUGAGACACGGCCCAGACUCCUACGGGAGGCAGCAGUGGGGAAUUUUGGACAAUGGACGAAAGUCUGAUCCAGCCAUUCCGCGUGCAGGAUGAAGGCCCUCGGGUUGUAAACUGCUUUUGUACAGAACGAAAAGGCUCUGGUUAAUACCUAGGGCUCAUGACGGUACUGUAAGAAUAAGCACCGGCUAACUACGUGCCAGCAGCCGCCGCUG